ACAUCUCCCGGUUCCAAGAUUGCCAGUAUCCCUCGGACGCCUGACGGUUAAGCCGCCAGAUUUCCCAAGAGACUUAACAACCCAGCUACGAACGCUUUAAGCCCAAUAAAAGUGGCCACCACUCGAGCCGCCGGUAUUACCGCGGCGGCUGGCACCGGUCUUGCCCGGCCCUUUCUUCAGGUGUUUUUUAGACACCUGGACAGCCUGCAUAUACAGGCACUCGAGGUUCCCUUAUCACGGUUUCCCGCAUUGUAAAGUUUUCGCGCCUGCUGCGCCCCGUAGGGCCUGGAUUCGUGUCUCAGAAUCCAACUCCGGGCUCUUGCUCCCACAACCCGUACCGAUUAUCGGCUUGUUGGGCCGUUACCCCAACAACAACCUAAUCGGCCGCAGAUCCAUCCUAAGGCGCCGGAACUUUCGGUUACAGGGCAUUCCAGCGUCUGUAACCUAUAGGGUAUUAUCCUCAGUUUCCCGAGGUUAUCCCCUUCCUUAGGGCAGGUUAUCCACGUGUUACUGAGUAAUACGCCGAGGGCCGAACCCUCUCGACUCGCAUGGCUUAAUCGAACCCCGAUAGCAGUGACCUCUGGCAAAAUCAACCAGAUCUGCAGCGGCCGCGGAUCCGCCA
rnacentral:rRNA from 1 species